rnacentral:rRNA from 1 species
GGAGGUCACCGCUAUUGGGGUCCGACUAAGCCAUGCGAGUCGAGAGGGUUCGGCCCUCGGCGUACGGCUCAGUAACACGUGGAUAACCUACCCUUGGGUGGGGGAUAACCUCGGGAAACUGAGGAUAAUACCCCAUAGGCCCGGUAUGCUGGAACGCUUCCGGGCUGAAAGCCCCGGCGCCCAAGGAUGGGUCUGCGGCCUAUCAGGUUGUAGUGGGUGUAACGGACCCACUAGCCUUCGACGGGUACGGGCUGUGAGAGCAGUAGCCCGGAGAUGGACUCUGAGACACGAGUCCAGGCCCUACGGGGCGCAGCAGGCGCGAAACCUUCGCAAUGCGCGAAAGCGCGACGAGGGGACCCCAAGUGCCCAUGCACUGCAUGGGCUGUUCGUGUGCCUAAAAAGCACACGGAGGAAGGGCUGGGCAAGACGGGUGCCAGCCGCCGCGGUAAUACCCGCAGCCCGAGUGGUGACCGCUAUUAUUGAGCCUAAAGCGUCCGUAGCCGGCCUCGUAAAUCCUUGGGGAAAUCGGACCGCUUAACGGUUCGAAGUCCGGGGACACUGCGAGGCUUGGGACCGGGAGAGGUCGGAGGUACUCCAGGGGUAGGGGUGAAAUCCUGUAAUCCUUGGAGGACCACCAGUGGCGAAGGCGUCCGACCAGAACGGAUCCGACGGUGAGGGACGAAGCCCUGGGGCGCAAACCGGAUUAGAUACCCGGGUAGUCCAGGGUGUAAACGCUGCAGACUUGGUGUUGGGGAUCCUACGAGGAUGCCCAGUGCCGGAGAGAAGUUGUUAAGUCUGCCGCUUGGGGAGUACGGCCGCAAGGCUGAAACUUAAAGGAAUUGGCGGGGGAGCACCGCAACGGGAGGAGCGUGCGGUUCAAUUGGAUUCAACGCCGGACAACUCACCGGGGGCGACGGUCACAUGAAGGCCAGGCUGAUGACCUUGCCUGAUUGACCGAGAGGUGGUGCAUGGCCGCCGUCAGUUCGUACCGUAGGGCGUUCUGUUAAGUCAGAUAACGAACGAGACCCUCGCCCUUAGUUGCCACCCCUUCCUCCGGGAAGGGAGCACAUUAAGGGGACCGCUGGCGCGAAGCCAGAGGAAGGAGAGGUCAACGGUAGGUCCGUAUGCCCCGAAUCCCCCGGGCUACACGCGCGCUACAAAGGGCAGGACAAAGGGUUCCGACACCGAAAGGUGAAGGUAAUCCCGAAACCUGUCCGUAGUUCGGAUCGAGGGCUGUAACCCGCCCUCGUGAAGAUGGAUUCCGUAGUAAUCGCGGGUCAACAUCCCGCGGUGAAUACGCCCCUGCUCCUUGCACACACCGCCCGUCAA